rnacentral:lncRNA from 1 species
AAGUCGGUCAGCACUCUCCCCACCCAUGCGUUGCUACUAACAUCACCAUCACCACGUACUAUCACCACCAAUUUUAAAUAUAAACUAAGACAAAUUUCAAUAUGAAUUAAGAAAACGAUUGUAGAGUAAGAAUCAUAGAGUAAUACCAAACAGAUUGUAGAGUAAGAAUCACAUGUAUCAGUAGUUUACUCUACUUUAGCCAACUACCUUAUCCCAUCUAAUUUACCAUCCUACCAAAGUACCAAAUGUAUCGUAAAAUUUAUGAAAAAAACUUAUAUAAGACCAUAGACUAGAGUGUGUUCAUGGGGAUUGUCAGGGUCUCUACUAAUGAAUCUAGUUGUGUGACAAUAUUCAUGAGAAGCUGCAAAAGUUCUUGAGUGUUUGAGUUUUUCUACCUGUACUAAUCUUCAAUGAAAAUUAGGAUCUUUAGGGGAGUACUUUGUGAUCUAUUGAGUGUGAAAGUACUCGAAACUUUCAUUAAACUUUUUCACACAUAAUAUUUCCAUUUUAAAGCAAUUCUAGUUGUGAUAAUUUCUGGACUUUUAGGAACUACCUUUCUUUAUCUGAUUCUGAGACUGAAGUCAACAACACUCACAACUUAAUACAUAUAGAGCAGAAUAUUAGAUAUACCACAAUAAUAUACAUAACUUCAUAAGAGCAUAAGAAAACAAAAUCACUUAUCUCCCUAAAGCACAACUUAAUUUUUCUUUGCUCUUUGGUAAACCUUGCAAAAGAUGUUAUCUUCAUAAUUAUAGAGUCCUUAACAGUGAUUUUUCUCUUAAUUUCAUGUAAAUUAUCUUAAUUUUUCUUCGUUCUUAGGUUAACCUUGCAAGAGAUGUUAUCUUCUUAAUUAAGGACUACCCUGAUUUUUCUUUUGAUUUGAUGUAGAUUAUCUUAUCCACACCGUGAUAUAUGGAAAAUAGUUCAAGAUGCAAAAUUUUUUUUGGUCUUAUAGCAAUGGUUAGCUUCAUGCACCAAAAUUAAGUUGCUUUCUACAAUCCAUUGAAUCGUAGUUCAUUCAGGAUUUAGAAAUCCUUGCAGAGUGUCAGGGACAGACAUCAAACCUAGAUGAUCAAGGUGGGAACAAGUAUCAACUGGACUAAUUAUGCGUAUGGUUCUUGAACUUUAGAAACAUAACUUGUCAUUCGAGUCUAUCUGGAGCAUUUGGUUUGGUAGAAACAUAUUACCUUUGAAUACACAUCACAUUUUGGGAUCUAUCGGAUAACAUUAAAAUAGCUAUAACAUUAUUUUUUUAAAAAAAGCCCUAAUAUUAAGGAAAAUAACUAAAUUUUGAAAUAUCAUAACUUCAUAUUUUAGUGUCUGUCUGGAGAAAUUCUUUUAGAAGCUAUGUAACUUUUCAAGAUCUAUGUGAUUAAAUUAAAACAACUAUGACAUUAAGAAAACAGCUACUGAGCAAUGGACAAUAAAACUCAUAAUGAUAGAUGUUUAAAUGCUCUAACUUUGUAUUCGAACGAGGAAUUGUUAUACUGAGUACAAAGCUGUCAAUCAUAUUGCAGACU